rnacentral:rRNA from 1 species
UACGGGGGGGGCAAGCGUUGUUCGGAAUUACUGGGCGUAAAGGGUUCGUAGGUGGCCUGCUAAGUCAGACGUGAAAUCCCUCAGCUCAACUGGGGAACUGCGUCUGAGACUGGUGGGCUUGAGUGCAGGAGAGGAACGCGGAAUUCCAGGUGUAGCGGUGAACUGCGUAGAUAUCUGGAGGAACACCGGUGGCGAAGGCGGCGUUCUGGACUGUUACUGACACUGAGGAACGAAAGCCAGGGGAGCAAACGGG